rnacentral:rRNA from 1 species
UACGAAGGGGGCUAGCGUUGCUCGGAAUCACUGGGCGUAAAGGGUGCGUAGGCGGGUCUUUAAGUCAGGGGUGAAAUCCUGGAGCUCAACUCCAGAACUGCCUUUGAUACUGAGGAUCUUGAGUACGGGAGAGGUGAGUGGAACUGCGAGUGUAGAGGUGAAAUUCGUAGAUAUUCGCAAGAACACCAGUGGCGAAGGCGGCUCACUGGCCCGUAACUGACGCUGAGGCACGAAAGCGUGGGGAGCAAACGGG